rnacentral:misc_RNA from 1 species
UAGACAACGACGAACCAUCAACAUGCUUGAAUGAAGCUCUUUCAAAUUUAUCCAGUACACCUUACAAGUUCAGAAAAGAGGAUAUUUUAGCAUUCUUCUUUAACAAAUUUGAAAGAUUGUAUGAUGUUUUCAUAAAUCAAGGGUUUCGGGCUCUUGAGGACCUCUACUAUCAGACAUGGCUGCACAGUGGACAAAGAGUUAUUGUACAGGAAAAGAAAGAAGAUCAAGUUGUGGAAAAUGUAGUCACUAUUCAGGGGUUGACAUCUUCAGGAUAUUUGCUAGCUAUUGGAGAUGACAACCAAAUGUGCGAACUUCAUCCCGAUGGAAAUAGUUUGGACUUUUUCAAAGGACUAAUCAAGAGCAAACUGGUGUAAGACUACUGCUUUUUCACUUUUCAACAAGUGCUGACUAUGAGCUGUAUGGAAUGGACUCAUGUGCAAUAAGA